GAUGAACGCUGGCGGCGUGCCUAAUACAUGCAAGUCGAGCGAACAGAUAAGGAGCUUGCUCCUUUGACGUUAGCGGCGGACGGGUGAGUAACACGUGGGUAACCUACCUAUAAGACUGGGAUAACUUCGGGAAACCGGAGCUAAUACCGGAUAACAUUUUGAACCGCAUGGUUCUAAAGUGAAAGAUGGUUUUGCUAUCACUUAUAGAUGGACCCGCGCCGUAUUAGCUAGUUGGUAAGGUAACGGCUUACCAAGGCAACGAUACGUAGCCGACCUGAGAGGGGGAUCGGCCACACUGGAACUGAGACACGGGACAGACUCCGACGGGAGGCAGCAGUAGGGAAGCUUGCGCAAUGGGCGAAAGCCUGACGGAGCAACGACGCGUGAGGGAAGAAGGUCUUCGGAUCGUAAAACUCUGUUAUUAGGGAAGAACAAAUGUGUAAGUAACUAUGCACGUCUUGACGGUACCUAAUCAGAAAGCCACGGCUAAGUACGUG
rnacentral:rRNA from 1 species